UACGUAGGUGGCAAGCGUUGUCCGGAUUUACUGGGCGUAAAGAGCGCGCAGGCGGUCGUUCAAGUCGCGUGUGAAAGCCCCCGGCUCAACUGGGGAGGGUCACGCGAUACUGAUCGACUCGAAGGCAGGAGAGGGACGUGGAAUUCCCGGUGUAGUGGUGAAAUGCGUAGAUAUCGGGAGGAACACCAGUGGCGAAGGCGACUUCCUGGCCUGUUCUUGACGCUGAGGCGCGAAAGCUAGGGGAGCAAACGGG
rnacentral:rRNA from 1 species